AUAACUCAAACAUUGUUUCAUGUUUUGAGAGAUGAAGAAAAGGAUGAUCUUCGCAGUUUUCUUCUUGAUCCAAAAUGGUACUUGGGAGAUUGUGUUGAUGGUUCUAUCAUAAGAAAUUGCAAGAAGCUUCCCAUUUAUAAAGUUUAUGGUGGAGGAUCUGUUCAGGACAUUCAUUUCUCAGAUCUAGAAAAUCCUCAAAAGUACUUGCCGCCAUUAAAUGUCCCUAACAAUUUUCUGGGUUCUGAGUUUAUUAUGACUUCCUCAAAUAGUGAGGAAGAGAUUUUGGUGAGAUAUUAUGGAAUUGAGAGAAUGGGGAGGGCACACUUCUACAGGCAUCGGGUUUUUGAAGAUAUCAGGGAGUUGCAACCUGAAGUUCGUGACAGUAUUAUGCUUUCUGUUUUGCAGAACCUUCCACAAUUUUGUUUAGAGGACGCAACUUUCAAGGAACAUUUGAAAAAUUUGGAAUUUGUGCCCACCUUUAGUGGUGCUGUUAAGUGUCCUUCAGUGCUAUAUGAUCCUCGCAAUGAAGAGUUAUCUGCUUUAUUGGAUGACUCUAAUAACUUCCCUUCUGGUUCUUUCCAAGAACCUGAUAUUCUAGACAUGCUACACAGUUUGGGUCUCAGAACAUCUGUUUCUCCUGAGACUGUCCUGGAAAGUGCUCGACAAGUCGAGCAACUAAUGCAUGAGGAUCAACAAAAAGCACAUUCCAGAUCUAAAGUGCUUCUUUCCUACUUAGAAGUAAAUGCGAUUAAGUGGUUACCCAACCAAUUAAAUGAUGAUCAAGGAACUGUCAAUAAAAUCUUUUCACGGGCUGCAACUGCAUUUAGACCUCGCAACAUGAAAUCUGACCUCGAAAAGUUCUGGAAUGAUCUGCGGAUGAUUUGCUGGUGCCCUGUGAUGGUUUCUCCUCCAUUUCAGACUUUGCCAUGGCCUGCUGUGUCAUCGACAGUUGCUCCACCUAAGCUUGUUAGGUUACAAACAGACUUGUGGCUUGUUUCAGCUAGCAUGAGAAUACUGGAUGGUGAAUGCUCUUCUACUGCAUUAUCAUAUAACCUUGGGUGGUUAUCUCCACCAGGAGGAAAUGCACUUGCUGCUCAAUUACUAGAGCUUGGAAUGAACAAUGAGAUUGUGAAGGAUCAGCUACUUCGACAGGAAUUAGCCUUGGCAAUGCCAAGGAUAUACUCAAUAAUGAUGAGCUUGAUUGGUUCGGAUGAAAUGGAUAUUGUGAAGGCUGUUCUUGAAGGGUCUCGUUGGAUUUGGGUGGGAGAUGGAUUUGCUACCAUAGAUGAGGUUGUUCUUGAUUGUCCUCUUCAUUUGCCUCCCUAUAUUCGUGUUGUACCCAUUGAUUUAGCUGUUUUCAAAGACUUAUUUUUGGAGCUUGGAGUUCGAGAGCAUUUUAAGCCCAUUGAUUAUGCUAAUAUUUUGGUUAGAAUGGCUUUGAGGAAAGUUUCCUGUCCUCUGGAUGUGCAAGAAAUAAGGGCAGUGAUACUGAUCGUUCAGCAUCUGGCUGAAGUUCAGUUUCAUGAAGAAGAAGUCAAGAUUUAUUUACCGGACAUUUCAGGAAGACUAUUGCCUGCUGGUGAUUUAGUUUAUAAUGAUGCUCCCUGGUUGCUUGGCGCAGAUGAUGCUGAUAGCUCAUUUCGAGCAUCUUCUGUGGCCUUAAAUGCAAAAAGAACAGUUCAAAAAUUUGUCCAUGGGAAUAUCUCUAAUGAAGUUGCAGAGAAGCUUGGUGUCUGCUCACUUCGUAGGAUCUUACUUGCUGAAAGUGCUGAUUCUAUGAAUUUUGGUUUGUCUGGUGCUGCUGAAGCCUUUGGACAGCAUGAAGCUUUGACAACUAGACUCAAACAUAUACUUGAGAUGUAUGCAGAUGGUCCUGGGACUCUUUUUGAACUGGUUCAAAAUGCUGAGGAUGCUCGGGCUUCAGAAGUGAUAUUUCUUUUGGAUAAAACUCAAUAUGGGACUUCUUCUGUUCUCUCUCCUGAAAUGGCAGAUUGGCAAGGUCCUGCAUUGUAUUGUUUCAAUGACUCAGUUUUCAGUCCACAAGAUCUCUAUGCAAUCUCACGUAUUGGUCAAGAAAGCAAACUGGAAAAGCCUUUUGCAAUUGGAAGAUUUGGGCUUGGGUUUAAUUGCGUUUAUCAUUUUACUGACAUACCUGCGUUUGUUUCUGGGGAAAACAUUGUUAUGUUUGAUCCUCAUGCCUGUCAUCUGCCUGGGAUCUCUCCUUCCCAUCCUGGCUUAAGAAUUAAAUUUGUUGGGAGAAAGAUUUUGGAGCAAUUUCCUGAUCAGUUCUCUCCAUUCUUACACUUUGGCUGUGAUAUGCAGCAUCCCUUUCCUGGUACCCUCUUUCGUUUUCCUCUUAGAAGCUCUUCUAUUGCCCUGCGUAGCCUGAUAAAGAACGAAGGAUAUGCACCUGAAGAUGUCAUGUCUCUCCUUGCUUCCUUUUCAGAGGUUGUUUAUGAUGUUUUGCUUUUUCUCCGCAAUGUGAAAAGCAUCUCUAUUUUUGUGAAGGAAGGAAAUGGUUAUGAAAUGCAACUCCUGCAUCGUGUGCACAGAAAUUGCAUCAUGGAGCCAAAUAUGGUGUCAAAUGUAUCAAAUGAUGUAUUUAGUCUUAUCAAUGGAAGUCAAUAUAAUGGGCUGGGUAAGGAUCAGUUGCUGAAAAAGUUGAGCAAAUCCAUAGACAGGGAUUUGCCAUAUAAAUGCAAGAAGAUUGUGGUGACAGAACAAAGACCUUCUGGUGUUUUGUCACACUGUUGGAUAGUCUGUGAGUGUUUAGGCAGUGGGCUAGCCAAGAACACCUCUGCAGCUGCUGGUGACAAAUCUCAUAAAUCAAUUCCAUGGGCUUGUGUUGCCGCAUAUAUACACUCUGUGAAGAGGGAUGGGGAAGUAAGCGAUAUCUUCAACACAGAAGAUGCCUGUACUGAAAUAUUUCAAGUUUCUGCAACUUCCAUUCAACAAAGGAAAAACUUUGAGGGGCGUGCCUUCUGCUUUUUACCACUUCCCAUCAGUACUGGGCUUCCAGCACAUAUUAAUGCAUAUUUUGAAUUAUCAUCCAACAGGAGAGACAUCUGGUUUGGUAAUGACAUGGCAGGAGGUGGAAAAAAACGGUCGGACUGGAACAUGUACAUCCUUGAAGCUGUUGUUGCCCCUGCUUAUGGCCACUUGCUUGAGAAAAUUGCACAGGAGAUUGGCCCUUGUGAUCUGUUCUUUUCAUAUUGGCCAACGGCAAUGGGCUUGGAGCCUUGGGCAUCAGUGGUACGGAAACUAUACAUUUUUAUUGCUGAAUCUGGUCUACGUGUUUUAUAUACAAAAGCUAGAGAGGGCCAGUGGGUUGCUGCCAAACAAGUGAUUUUUCCUGAUUUGAGCUUUCAUAUGGCACAUGAACUUGUAGAAGCAUUAUCAGAUGCUGGUCUACCUCUUGUGACUGUUUCCAAGCCACUUGUACAGAGAUUUAUGGAGGCCUGUCCAUCACUGAACUUUCUGACACCACAGUUGUUAAGAACACUGCUGAUUCGGCGAAAACGUGGAUUUAAGGAAAGAAGUUCAAUGAUCUUGACCCUUGAAUAUUGUUUACUUGAUUUAAAAGUUCCCAUUCAACCUGAUAGUUUGUAUGGUUUAGCAUUGUUGCCGCUUGCUAAUGGUUCAUUUGCUACGUUUGGAAAGAAUGGGGCUGAUGAAAGAAUUUAUAUUUCACGGGGGGAUGAAUAUGGUCUCCUCAAGGAUUCAAUUCCACACCAGCUUGUGGACAAUGGAAUUCCAGAAGUUGUUUAUGGAAAGCUGUGCAGCAUAGCUGAGAGCGAGAAAUCAAAUAUUUCUUUCCUGUCUUGCUCUUUACUUGAGAAGCUCCUUGUGAAAUUACUUCCAGUUGAGUGGCAGCUUUCGAAAAAGGUGAACUGGGCACCUGGUAAUCAGGGUCAACCAAGUAUAGAAUGGAUAAGAUGUCUUUGGAGCUAUCUAAAGUCAUGCUGCGAUGAUCUGUCAAUAUUUUCUAACUGGCCAAUAUUACCUGUUGGAGACAAUUAUCUUUUGCAGUUAAUUCCAAAUUCUAAUGUUAUUACAGACGAUGGGUGGAGUGAAAACAUGUCUUCAUUGUUGCUGAAAGUAGGAUGCUUAUUCUUGAGGCGUGACCUACAAAUAGAACAUCCAGGGCUGGAAAAAUUUGUGCAGUCUCCAACGGCGGCAGGCAUAUUAAAUGCAUUUCUGGCAAUUGCUGGUAAGCCAGAGAAGAUUGAAUCGCUUUUCACUGAUGCAUCAGAGAGGGAGCUACAUGAACUGCAGAGUUUUGUUCUUCAGUCAAAGUGGUUCUUUGAAGAGCAGAUGGAUGGCGCAUGUAUUGACGUCAUCAAACACCUUCCCGUAUUUGAGUCUUACAGAAGUAGAAAACUAGUUAGUCUGAGUAAACCUACCAAAUGGCUUAAACCAAGUGGUGUUCGGGAGGAUCUCCUGGGUGAUGAUUUUGUUCGCACUGAAUCAGAAAGAGAGAGAAUUAUUCUGCAAAGGUACUUAGACAUCAAAGAGCCAUCAACAGUGGAAUUUUAUAAAGUUUACGUACUUAACCGGAUGUCAGAAUUCCUUUCACAGCAGGAAGCUCUUGUGGCCAUUCUAAAUGAUGUGAGGCUUUUGACUGACCAAGAUUUUUCCAUCAAAUCAGCACUUUGCACGGCACCUUUUGUUUUAGCUGCCAAUGGAACUUGGCAACAGCCAUCUAGGCUGUAUGAUCCCCGUGUUCCUGAACUACAAAAGGUGCUCCAUAGUGGUUUUUUCCCUUCUAAGGAAUUCUCAGAUCCUGAAACUCUGGAGACUUUAGUCAGCCUUGGGCUUAAAAGAACUCUGGGUUUAAGUGGUUUUCUUGAUUGUGCUAGAUCAGUAUCGAUGUUACAUGAUUCUGGUAACUCAGAAGCAGUGAGUUAUGGGCGGAGGUUAGUUAUCUGUUUGGAUGCUCUUGCACAUAAGCUCUCGGCAGAGGAGAAAGAAGGCAAUUGCAAUCAGUUGCAGGGUAUUUUGGUUUGCCAGGAUAAUUGUAUUGCAAAUGGUGAGGGUGUGUACCUCAAUUCUCUUGAAAGAGGUGAGAAUCACUUAAAAAAUGCUCUGGACAUUGAAUAUCUUUUGACUGACUUGGUUGAUGAUAUGCCAGAAGAAGAAUUUUGGUCUGAAAUGAAGGCUAUUGACUGGUGUCCUGUUUGUGUUGAUCCACCCCUACAAGGACUGCCAUGGUUAAAAUCUAACAAGCGAGUAGCAUCUCCAAAUCUUGUGAGACCUAAAUCACAGAUGUGGAUGGUGUCCUGUGUAAUGCAUAUACUAGAUGGUGAAUGCAACUCAAAUUACCUACAGAAGAGACUUGGUUGGAUGGAUUGUCCAAAGGUUGAUGUUUUAUCAAUGCAAUUGAUUGAACUAUCCAAAUCCUACAAUCAACUAAAGCUAAAUUCUUCUGUGAGACUGGAUUUUGAUGCUGCACUGCAGAAGGGAAUCCCAACACUUUAUUCUAAAUUGCAAGAAUAUAUUGGUGCCAGUGAUUUCUCAGAGUUGAAAUCAGCUUUAGAUGGUGGUUCCUGGGUUUGGAUUGGUGAUGAUUUUGUAUCCCCUAGUGAUCUUGCAUUUGAUUCACCAGUGAAAUUUACCCCUUAUUUGUAUGUUGUUCCAUCUGAGUUAUCAGAAUUUAGAGAAUUGCUCUUGGAAUUAGGUGUGAAGCUUAGUUUUGAUAUUUGGGAUUACUUUCAUGUUCUGCAACGCUUACAGAAUAAUGUGAAGGGGUGCCCCCUCUCAACUGAUCAGUUAUUUUUUGUCCAUUGCGUCCUUGAAGCUGUUGCAGACUGUUGCUCAGACAACUUAUUGUUUGAGGUUUCCAAUACAUCAUUAUUAAUUCCGGAUUCUUCUGGAGUUCUAAUGUGUUCUGGGGAUCUUGUUUAUAAUGAUGCACCAUGGAUGGAAAAUAGUGCGCUGGUUGGGAAACAUUUUGUACAUUCUAGUAUCAGCAAUGAUUUGGCGAAUAGAUUGGGGGUGAAAUCACUUCGCUGCCUCUCGUUGGUUGAUGAAGAUAUGACUAAAGAUUUGCCUUGCAUGGAUUUUACGAAGAUAAAUGAACUGCUGGCAUUGUAUGGGAACAACGAUUUUUUGUUGUUUGACCUUCUUGAAUUAGCAGAUUGCUGCAAAGCUAAGAAGUUACACCUAAUUUUUGACAAGAGGGAGCAUCCUCGUCAGUCUUUGCUGCAGCACAAUUUAGGUCAAUUUCAAGGGCCCGCUCUAGUUGCCAUUUUGGAAGGUGUCAGCUUGAAUAGAGAGGAAGUUAGCAGCCUUCAGCUUCUCCCUCCUUGGAAACUUCGGAGCAAUACUCUUAACUAUGGCUUGGGACUUCUUAGCUGUUACUUUAUAUGUGAUUUCUUGUCAGUUAUAUCUGGCGGCCACUUUUAUAUGUUUGAUCCUCGUGAUCUGGCACUUGGUGUGUCUUCAAGUCAUACUCCCACAGCAAAAAUGUUUUCUCUGAUAGGUACAAAUUUGACCAAGCGAUUUUGUGAUCAAUUUAAUCCGAUGCUGAUUGGUGAAAAAACUUCAUGGUCAUCAUUAGAUUCCACUAUUAUCCGCAUGCCUCUAUCAUCAGAAUGUCUUAAGGAUGGACUUGAGUUGGGAUUGAGGAGGGUAAAGCAAAUAUAUGAUCGAUUCAUAGAGAAUGCUUCUGGAAUGCUUAUUUUCUUGAAGUCAGUCUUGCAGGUCUCUUUCUCAACAUGGGAUGAAGGAAGUGAACAACUAUGCCAGGAUUAUUCGGUUUGUGUUGACUCAUCAUCUGCUACCAUAAGGAACCCAUUUUCAGAAAAGAAGUGGAGGAAGUUCCAAAUAUCAAGGUUAUUUAGCAGCUCAAAUUCUGCAGUUAAAUUGCAUGUGAUAGAUGUGAACUUGUAUGAAGGAGCUACUGCUGCUAGAGUUGUUGACCGCUGGCUUGUUGUGCUUAGCCUUGGCUGUGGGCAAACUAGAAAUAUGGCUCUGGAUAGGAGAUAUCUUGCAUACAACUUGACACCUGUUGCUGGAGUUGCAGCUCACAUAUCAAGAGAUGGCCGUCCUGCUGAUGUGCAUCUGAAAAGCUGUGUUAUGUCUCCUCUUCCUUUGUCCAGCAGUGUAACUCUACCUGUCAUUGUUCUUGGAUGUUUCCUUGUAUGUCACAAUGGUGGCCGUUCUCUCUUCAAGUACCAGGAUAGGGGAACUUCAAUGGAGGCACAAACUGAUGCCGGAGAUCAGUUGGUUGAAGCUUGGAAUAGAGAAUUGAUGUCUUGUGUUCGUGAUUCUUACAUUGAAAUGGUGAUGGAAAUGCAUAAAUUAAGAAGAGAACCAUCAAGUUCAACUAUUGAAUCAAGUGGAGGUCGUGCUGUUUCUCUGUCUUUGAGGGCCCAUGGUGAUCUAAUUUAUUCCUUCUGGCCAAGGUCUAAUAGGCAUGCACCAAUUAAUCAACCUGGAGAUGGAAAUAACUUAGCACAAAUAAGAGUACUUAAAGCAGAUUGGGAAUGUCUGAUUGAACAAGUAAUAAGGCCAUUUUAUGCUCGUGUUGCUGAUCUCCCUGUUUGGCAGCUUUAUUCAGGAAGCUUGGUCAGGUCUGAAGAGGGUAUGUUUCUUUCACAACCUGGAAAUGGGGUAGCUAGUAAUUUACUUCCAGCUACUGUUUGUAGUUUUGUGAAGGAACAUUAUCCAGUGUUUUCCGUACCUUGGGAGCUUGUGACUGAAAUCCAGGCUGUGGGGGUUACAAUUCGAGAAAUUAAACCUAAAAUGGUUCGGGAUCUUCUAAGGAUGUCAUCGAUAUCUUUUGCUCUUCGAUCCAUUGAUACCUACUUGGACGUUCUCGAGUACUGCUUGUCUGAUAUUGAGAUUCCAGGAUCGUCUAAUUUUUACGAAGAAAAUGCAUCAGUGGACUCUGUAAACUUCAAUAUCAUGCAUAGAGCAGCUAAUGAGGUGGGCAACAGUUCUACUUCAGUAUCAAGGUCUAAUGUGCAGAAUGUUCAUGGGUUGCAAGACCAGAGUGCAUCCAGUUCAGGGGAUGCACUUGAACUAAUGACAAGUUUUGGGAAGGCAUUAUUUGAUUUUGGGCGAGGAGUUGUUGAAGAUAUUGGUAGGGCUGGAGGGCCCUUAAGUCAGAGGAACACCAUUUCAGAUGGCAGCAAUGGAAAUGGAAAUCCUAAGAUUCUACUGGUUGCUGGUGAGCUCAGGGGUUUACCGUGUCCAACUGCUACAAAUAAUUUAGCUCGGUUGGGAGUUAGUGAGCUUUGGCUUGGUGACAAGGAUCAACAGGCCCUAAUGAUGCCUUUAGCUGCAAAAUAUGUCCAUCCAAAACUGUUAGAUAGAUCCAUUCUGUCUGAUAUUUUCUCAAAAUGUGCUGCACAAUCAUUAUUAAAACUGAAUAGUUUCUCUCUUCACUUAUUGGCUGGUCAUAUGAGAUCACUCUUUCAUGAGAAUUGGGUGAAUCAUGUAAUGGGUUCAAAAAUGGCCCCAUGGUUUUCUUGGGAGAAUACAUCAACUUCUGUUGACGAAGGUGGUCCUUCGCAUGAAUGGAUAAGAUUGUUCUGGAAAUGUUUCACUGGUUCAUCAGAAGAGCUCUUACUGUUUGCUGAUUGGCCCCUAAUUCCUGCUUUUCUUGGUAGGCCCAUCUUAUGCCGUAUAAAGGAACGUCAUUUAGUCUUCAUGCCUCCCCCUUUUAAUAAUCCAGUCUCUGGGAACAGUGUUCUGGAUAUGGGUAGCUCAGGAAGUGAUAUGACUGGAUUGUCCAGGAAUCAUUCUCCUGAAUAUGACGUUCAGUUGUACAUUUCAGCUUUUGAACAAACCAAAAAUAGGUAUCCUUGGUUGGUUUCUCUGUUGAACCAGUGCAAUGUCCCGAUUUUUGAUGCUGCUUUCUUUGGCUGUGCUGCCUCAUGUAAUUGUGUCCCUUCACCCGGUCAGUCACUUGGGCAAGUUAUUGCUUCUAAGCUUGUUGCAGCUAAGCAUGCUGGCUAUUUUGCUGAACUUGCAUCAUUUUCAAGUUCAGAUCGAGAUGAACUUUUUAGUCUUUUUGCUUAUGAUUUCUUGUCUAAUGCCUCUAAAUAUGGAACUGAGGAGCUUGAAGUAUUGCAUUGCUUGCCUAUAUAUAAAACAGUCAAGGGAUCCUACAGCAAAUUGCUUGGUCAAGAUAAGUGUAUGAUAUCUUCUGAAUCAUUCCUAAAGCCAUUUGAUGAGCAUUGCCUUUCUUAUUCAACAGAUUCAAUUGAGUGUUCACUAUUACGAGCCCUGGGGGUUCCCGAAUUACAUGAUCCACAGAUUUUGAUAAGGUUUGGGUUGCCCGAAUUUGAAGGCAAACCUCAGUCUGAGCAGGAGGAUAUAUUAAUUUAUCUUUACACAAACUGGCAAGAUCUCCAGGCAGAUUCUUCUUUGCUUGAAGUUCUGAAGGAGACUAGAUUUGUAAGGAAUGCAGAUGAAUUCUCCACGGACCUCUCCAAGCCCAAGGAUCUGUUUGAUCCCUGUGAUGCUUUAUUAACUUCUGUAUUCUCUGGUGAGAGGAAGAGAUUUCCUGGAGAAAGGUUUAGUACAGAUGGUUGGCUUCGCAUUUUGAGGAAAACAGGCCUUCGAACUGCAGCUGAAGCAGAUGUAAUACUUGAAUGUGCCAAAAAGGUUGAGUUUUUGGGAGAACAGUGCAUAAAAUCGAAGGGGUCUUUUGAUGAUUUUGAGAGGGACUCUAAUGAUGAAGUUUCUGUGGAGAUAUGGGCAUUGGCUGCAUCGGUUGUUGAAGCUGUGAUCUCAAACUUUGCUGUCUUUUAUGGUAAUAAUUUCUGUAAUACCAUUUCUAAGAUUGCCUGUGUACCUGCUGAACUGGGAUUUCUCAAUGGUGGUAGCAAGAGAGUGCUUACUUCAUAUAGUGAAGCUAUUCUGUUGAAGGACUGGCCUUUGGCUUGGAGUUGUUCUCCCAUUCUUUCUAGACAAAAUGUUGUUCCACCUGAAUUCUCAUGGGGAGCACUCCACCUAAGGAGUCCUCCAUCUUUUUCUAUAGUCCUAAAACAUCUGCAGGUGAUUGGAAGAAAUGGUGGUGAAGACACACUUGCUCACUGGCCCACUGCAUCAAGCAUUAUGACAGUUGAUGAAGCAUCUUGUUCAGUGUUGAGAUAUCUGGAUAGGGUUUGGGGUUCCCUUUCUUCGUCAGAUAUAAAAGAAUUGCAGAGAGUGGCAUUUCUACCUGCUGCAAAUGGAACACGCUUGGUGACAGCAAAUUCUCUUUUUGUUCGCCUGACUAUUAACCUGUCGCCAUUUGCAUUUGAACUUCCUAGUUUGUAUCUUCCUUUUGUGAAAAUUCUGAAAGAGUUGGGACUUCAGGACGUGCUAUCAGUUGAUGCCGCAAAGGAUCUUCUAUUAAAUCUCCAAAAAGCUUGUGGAUAUCAGCGUUUAAAUCCAAAUGAACUCCGUGCUGUGAUGGGAAUCUUGUAUUUUCUUUGUGAUACGAUUAUUGAGGCAAAUGUGUCUGGUGGGAUCAAUUGGAAAUCAGAUGCAAUAGUCCCAGAUGAUGGUUGCAGACUUGUCCAUGCAAAAUCAUGUGUGUAUAUCGAUUCUUAUGGCUCUCAAUAUGUCAAAUAUAUUGACACGUCAAGGUUAAGAUUUGUUCACCAAGAUCUUCCAGAGAGAAUUUGUAUAGCUCUGGGCAUUAGGAAAGUGUCUGAUGUUGUCGUAGAGGAACUUGAUGAGGAUGAAGAUUUACAGACAUUGGAAUGUAUUGGGUCUGUCCCGCUAGUACUCAUCAGAGAGAAGCUGUCAAGCUUGUCAUUUCAGAGCUCUGUAUGGACUCUUGUAAAUAGCAUGGGUGGUGGUGUUCCUGCUACUGAUAAUUUAUCUUUGGAAAUCAUACAAAAUCUACUGGCAUGUGUUGCUGAAAAGUUGCAGUUUGUUAAAUUUCUCCAUACUCGAUUUGUGCUUCUUCCAAAGUGUCUUGAUAUCACCCUCACUGAUAAGAAUUCUGUUGUUCCAGAAUGGGAGGGUGGAUCCAAACACCGGAGUCUAUAUUUUGUAAACCGCUCAGAGACCUCUAUUUUGGUUGCUGAACCACCUACUUGUAUAUCCAUUCUUGAUGUUCUUGCGAUUGUUGUAAGCCAGGUUUUAGGCUUCCCUGCCCCACUACCUAUAGGAUCCCUGUUUUUAUGUCCUGGAGGUUCUGAAACUGCAAUUCUCAAUAUACUAAAAAUCCGUCUCAACAAGAGAGAAAUUGAAUAUACUAGUAAUAAAUUAGUAGGAAAUGAAAUACUGCCUCCAGAUGCUCUUCAAGUGCAACUUCAUCCUUUGAGACCUUUUUACAGUGGAGAAAUAGUGGCAUGGCAGUCUCAGAAUGGAGAGAAGUUGAAAUAUGGCAGAGUUCCAGAGGAUGUCAAACCAUCAGCUGGCCAAGCUCUUUACAGAUUCAAGGUGGAAACUGCACCAGGAGUGGUUGAGUAUCUUCUUUCAUCACAAGUCUUCUCAUUUAAAAGCGUAUCAAUGGGAAAUGAGGCUUCCUUAGCAACUCUGGCUGAUGAUAGUCGAUCUGUAGUUGAUAAGCAGGCUAUUGUCAAGAUGCCAGAAAGUUCAGGAAGGACCAAAACAAAAUCUCAUCAGGUUGGUAAAGAGCUCCUGUAUGGCCGAGUGUCAGCUGAAGAACUUGUGCAGGCUGUUCAUGAGAUGCUUUCUGCAGCAGGGAUCAACAUGGAUGACGAGAAGCAGUCUCUUCUGCAAAGAACGAUAACUCUGCAGGAACGGUUGAAAGAGUCUCAGGCAGCACUUUUACUUGAACAGGAAAAGUCUGAUGUGGCAGCAAAAGAAGCUGAUACAGCGAAAGCAGCAUGGGUUUGUCGAGUCUGUUUGAGUAAUGAAGUUGACAUGACGAUUGUUCCUUGUGGUCAUGUGCUUUGUCGUAGAUGCUCAUCUGCUGUUUCCAGAUGUCCAUUUUGUCGGCUUCAGGUCUCAAAAACCAUUAGAAUUUUCAGGCCAUGAUCGGGGAACUAGAUUUGUCAUACAUUUACACCGACAUUAUUGUGACCCUCAUUUUUUCAAAGUUGCAACGGUAUCACAUAUAGCUUCUGCGAGUGAAAUAGAAAAGCACUGUAAUAGUUGGUUAAAGAAACAGGAUUGAAACAUGAGGCAGCUUGUCAAUAUUACCUGUCUUACUUUCUCACUCGUGUGUAUUUAUUUUGCUGCCAUGUAUGGAAGAAAUUGAUAAAAGAUAGUGUAUAGUUUUACUCCAGUGUAUUCAUUUUCUUGUAGAUAACAAUAAUGAAAGAUUUUAUAUACAUUGUCACGAAAAACUUAAAAAGUAUUCUAGUGAUAAUUGUUGGAGCAAUUUUCCCAUUUUGC
rnacentral:misc_RNA from 1 species